GAUGAACGCUGGCGGCGUGCCUAAUACAUGCAAGUCGAGCGAACAGACGAGGAGCUUGCUCCUCUGACGUUAGCGGCGGACGGGUGAGUAACACGUGGAUAACCUACCUAUAAGACUGGGAUAACUUCGGGAAACCGGAGCUAAUACCGGAUAAUAUAUUGAACCGCAUGGUUCAAUAGUGAAAGACGGUUUUGCUGUCACUUAUAGAUGGAUCCGCGCCGCAUUAGCUAGUUGGUAAGGUAACGGCUUACCAAGGCGACGAUGCGUAGCCGACCUGAGAGGGUGAUCGGCCACACUGGAACUGAGACACGGUCCAGACUCCUACGGGAGGCAGCAGUAGGGAAUCUUCCGCAAAGGGCGAAAGCCUGACGGAGCAACGCCGCGUGAGUGAUGAAGGUCUUCGGAUCGUAAAACUCUGUUAUUAGGGAAGUACAAAUGUGUAAGUAACUAUGCACGUCUUGACGGUACCUAAUCAGAAAGCCACGGCUAACUACGUG
rnacentral:rRNA from 1 species